rnacentral:rRNA from 1 species
UACAGACGGUCCAAACGUUAUUCGGAAUCACUGGGCUUAAAGAGUUCGUAGGCGGUCAGGAAAGUGGGGUGUGAAAGCCCUCGGCUUAACCGAGGAAUUGCGCUCCAAACUCCCUGACUUGAGGAGGCUAGAGGUAAGCGGAACUGAUGGUGGAGCGGUGAAAUGCGUUGAUAUCAUCAGGAACACCGGAGGCGAAGGCGGGUAGCUGGGCCGACACUGACGCUGAGGCGCGAAAGCCAGGGGAGCGAACGGG